AUUCCAGCUCCAAUAGCGUAUAUUAAAGUUGUGCAGUUAAAAAGCUCGUAGUUGGAUUUGUGGCAGUGCUCGAGUGCCUUUUUUGGACGCUUUGAGCACAGCCAUCCUUGGGAGGAAUUCGUGUGGCAUUAGGUUGUUGCAUGGGGGAUACUCAACUUUUACUGUGAAAAAAUCAGCGCGUUCAAAGCAAGCUUAUGCUCUUGAAUGUAUUAGCAUGGAAUAAUAAGAUAGGACUUUAGUACUAUUUUGUUGGUUUGCGUAUUAAGGUAAUGAUUAAUAGGGAUAGUUGGGGGUAUUCGUAUUCCAUUGUCAGAGGUGAAAUUCUUGGAUUUUUGGAAGACGAACUACUGCGAAAGCAUUUA
rnacentral:rRNA from 1 species